CACAACUAGAUAAUGAACAGUUGAGUAAACUGCUUAGUUUUGUAUGUCACUGGAAUACAAAUAGCAAGCAUGCUUCUGUCUCGCAGUUUGUCUUAUCUGCUGUCUUGAAAGAAAAAAGUGCAGAUGAGCUUUUAGAGUUUACAAGUAUAAAAGAAAUAAUUGAGUCAUUGCUACCAUAUACUGAAAGACACUAUGAAAGAAUUAGUCAGUUGGUUCAG
rnacentral:lncRNA from 1 species